UGACCUCAGAUCAGGCAAGGCUACCCGCUGAAUUUAAGCAUAUUAAUAAGCGGAGGAAAAGAAACUAACAAGGAUUCCCCUAGUAAUGGCGAAUGAAGCGGGAACAGCUCAAAUUUAAAAUCUCCGUUGCUUGCAACGGCGAAUUGUAGUUUCGAGAAGCACUUUCUCGGCGGAUCCGAGGUCGUCCAAGUUGCUUGGAACAGCACGUCGUAGAGGGUGAAAACCCCGUCUGCGGCGACCUCGGCCGUUCACGAUGUGCUUUCGACGAGUCGGGUUGUUUGGGAAUGCAGCCCAAAAUGGGUGGUAAACUCCAUCUAAAGCUAAAUAUUGGCACGAGACCGAUAGCGAACAAGUACCGUGAGGGAAAGAUGAAAAGCACUUUGAAAAGAGAGUUAAAAAGUACGUGAAACCGUUAAAAGGGAAACGAAUGGGGUUAGCAAUGCGUCGUGCGAGAUUCAGCCGGUGGGUGGGCCAGGCGGGCGGUUGGCGGAUCUGAAUGGACCGCUGCCGUUCGGGUUGGUUUCCCGACCGUCGCACUUCUCGCAGGCGCGCGCCAACGUCGGUUAGGGCUGGGUC
rnacentral:ncRNA from 1 species